rnacentral:rRNA from 1 species
GAUGAACGCUGGCGGUAUGCCUAACACAUGCAAGUCGAACGGGAACCUUCGGGUUUUAGUGGCGGACGGGUGAGUAACGCGUGAGAAUCUGCCUUCAGGAUGGGGACAACAAUUGGAAACGAUUGCUAAUACCCGAUAUGACGAAAGUUGAAAGAUUUAUCGCCUGGAGAUGAGCUCGCGUCAGAUUAGCUAGAUGGUGUGGUAAAGGCGCACCAUGGCGACGAUCUGUAGCUGGUCUGAGAGGAUGAGCAGCCACACUGGGACUGAGACACGGCCCAGACUCCUACGGGAGGCAGCAGUGGGGAAUUUUCCGCAAUGGGCGCAAGCCUGACGGAGCAAUACCGCGUGAGGGAGGAAGGCUCUUGGGUCGUAAACCUCUUUUCUCAGGGAAGAACAAAAUGACGGUACCUGAGGAAUCAGCAUCGGCUAACUCCGUGCCAGCAGCCGCGGUAAUACGGAGGAUGCAAGCGUUAUCCGGAAUGAUUGGGCGUAAAGCGUCCGUAGGUGGUUAUGUAAGUCUGUGGUUAAAGCGUGGGGCUCAACCCCAUAAGGGCCAUGGAAACUACAAGACUUGAGUAAAGUAGGGGUAGAGGGAAUUCCCAGUGUAGCGGUGAAAUGCGUAGAGAUUGGGAAGAACACCGGUGGCGAAAGCGCUCUACUGGACUUAAACUGACACUGAGGGACGAAAGCUAGGGGAGCGAAAGGGAUUAGAUACCCCUGUAGUCCUAGCCGUAAACGAUGGAUACUAGGUGUUGCCCG